rnacentral:misc_RNA from 1 species
UCCCUGUUAACCAGAGCAGUCUCUUAUGAAAUAUAUAACAUAAGACUAGGGUUGCGCUCGUUCACGGACUUAACCGAACACCUCAAGGCACGAGCUGACGACAACCAUGCAGCGCCUGUCUCCGAGUUCCUUGCGGCACCCCCUCGUUUCCGAAGGGUUCUCGGGAUGUCAAGCCUGGGUAAGGUUCCCCGUUUAGUAUCGAAUUAAACAACAUGCUCCACCGCUUGUGUGGGUCCCCGUCUAUUCCUUUGAGUUUUAGUCUUGCGACCGUAGUCCUCAGGCGGAGUACUUAAUGCGUUAGCUUCGGCACUGGAAGGAUCGAACUCCCAACACCAAGUACUCAUCGUUUACGGCGUGGACUAC